rnacentral:rRNA from 1 species
UACGUAGGUGGCAAGCGUUGUCCGGAUUUACUGGGCGUAAAGCGAACGCAGGCGGACCUUUAAGUAGGAAGUGAAAGGUUGGAGCUCAACUCUAACACUGCUCCCUAUACUGGAGGUCUUGAGUGUCGGAGAGGAAGACGGAACUGCAGGUGUAGCGGUGAAAUGCGUUGAUAUCUGCAGGAACACCAAUGGCGAAAGCAGUCUUCUGGACGAAUACUGACGCUGAGGUUCGAAAGCCAAGGUAGCAAACAGG